rnacentral:rRNA from 1 species
UUCCUACGGGAGGCAGCAGUGGGGAAUAUUGCACAAUGGGCGAAAGCCUGAUGCAGCAACGCCGCGUGAGCGAGGAAGGCCUUUGGGUCGUAAAGCUCUGUUGAGAGGGAAGAAAAAAUGACGGUACCUCUUGAGGAAGCCCGGCUAACUACGUGCCAGCAGCCGCGGUAAUGGAA